CUACCAACGUGGCAGUUCCACUGACACUACAGUUUUCUGCAACAAUGAAUAUGUGUCAGGUUUUGAAGUACUUAAAGAGAUCAGGCCCUAAUGGAAGGCCGACAUAAAGUGUGGUCGAGAACUAAAUUCGGUGACAUGAAAAAUGUUUUAUGUAUCCCACCAUGCAUUUAUUGCUGCUGCAGCAAUACCCUCCUGCUUAUUGGUGAAGUAAUUCAAAUGGAGGAACAACUUGAGCCGUCUGGUAAGUACAACGUUUUGACGCCUUAUCUCACUAAGAAGCUUUACUUUCUAUUUUCUAAUAUGGUCUAUUUUAAAAUUUUAUUUAUAUUUUAAAAGUAAAUGACGUCUAUUA